rnacentral:rRNA from 1 species
UGAGUACGAGACGCUAAGGCGUUGAAGUAGUGGAUGUCAUACUUCCAAGAAAAGCUUGCACUGCCAUAAAUAAAAGAUGCCUGUACCAUAACCGACACAGGUGGGUAGGUAGAGUAUACUAAGGGGCGCGAGAUAACUCUCUCUAAGGAACUCGGCAAAAUGACUCCGUAACUUCGGGAGAAGGAGUGCCUUAUUCGUAAGGCUGCAAUAACAAGAUCCAAGCAACUGUUUAUCAAAAACACAGGUCUCCGCUCGUAAGACGAUGUAUGGGGGCUGACGCCUGCCCAGUGCCAGAAGGUUAAAGAAGUCGGUUAGCAUUAGCGAAGCUGGUAACUGAAGCCCUGGUGAACGGCGGCCGUAACAAUAACGGUCCUAAGGUAGCGAAAUUCCUUGUCGGGUAAGUUCCGACCCGCACGAAAGGCGUAAUGAUUUGGAUACUGUCUCGGAGAGGGGCUCGGUGAAAUAGACUUGUCUGUGAAGAUGCGGACUACCUGCACCAGGACAGAAAGACCCUAUGAAGCUUUACUGUAACUUGAAAUUGAAAUUGGACUUUAUUCGCGCAGUAUAGGUGGGAGGCGUUGAUUAUAAUCUUGCGGGAUUAUUGGAGCCAUCAGUGAGAUACCACUCUUGUAAUGUUAGAUUUCUAACUUUGAAUCAUUAUCUGGUCAAAGAACAGUUUCAGGCGGGCAGUUUGACUGGGGCGGUCGCCUCCUAAACGGUAACGGAGGCGUACAAAGGUUUCCUCUGAACGGGUAGAAAUCGUAUCUAGAGUGUAAAGGCAUAAGGAAGCUUGACUGUGAGACCUACAAGUCGAGCAGGGACGAAAGUCGGUCUUAGUGAUCUGACGGUACUGAGUGGAAAGGCCGUCACUCAACGGAUAAAAGUUACUCUAGGAUAACAGGCUGAUCUCCCCCAAGAGUUCACAUCGACGGGGAGGUUUGGCACCUCGAUGUCGGCUCAUCGCAUCCUGGGGCGGUAGUACGUCCCAAGGGUUGGGCUGUUCGCCCAUGAAAGCGGUACGCGAGCUGGGUUCAGAACGUCGUGAGACAGUUCGGUCCAUAUCCGGUGUAGGCGUUAGAAUAUUGGGAGGAGCCUUCUUUAGUACGAGAGGACCGAGAAGGACAUACCUCUGGUGUACCAGUUAUCGUGCCAACGGUAAACGCUGGGUAGCUAUGUAUGGAGUGGAUAACCGCUGAAAGCAUCUAAGUGGGAAGCCCACCUC